rnacentral:tRNA from 1 species
GGGAAGGUAGCUCAGUGGUAGAGUGCUUGCCUUGCAUGCAUGAGGCCCUAGGUUCAAUUCCUCAGCAUCACA